rnacentral:rRNA from 1 species
CCCUUAGAUGUUCUGGGCUGCACGCGUGCUACACUGAUAUUGCCAAUAUGUCACUCUUAUCCGAAAUGGAUUGGGUAAUCAAGUAAUGAAAUUUCAUGCUUGGAAUCGGUAAUUGCAAUUUUAUCGUGAACGAGGAAUUCCUAGUAAGCACUAGUCAUCAGCUAAUGUUGAUUAUGUCCCUGCCCUUUGUACACACCGCCCGUCGCUACUACUGAUUGGGUGUUCAAGUGAGAUGCUUAGACCCUUGUUGCAUGGUUCAUUAUUGUGUUCCGAAAGGAAAAAGUUUCAAGCUUGAGUGUCUAGAGGAAGUAAAAGUCGUAACA